rnacentral:lncRNA from 1 species
AUGGGUGGUGCUUGUAUUUUCACAGCUGGCUGUACACACAGGAAUCAGCCAUACGAUGGAAGUGCCCUGAAGCUGAAGACAAGGCCUUCAAAACCCAGCAGGGCUAACAAGGGAGAGCUUGUAACCUUCACCAGGCCACGCACACAGAAAUACUCUCUCCCACAGGAGCGCCCGCCGUUACCAGGCAGUCCUCUGGGACUACCGAACAAGCCCUUCACAGUCUGUUCAUCUGCCCCUCUGUUAGAUAAACAGCUCCAACCAUGCUGGUUUUUCUGCCACUCUGAGAUCCGGCAGUCUAAAUACAAUUCCCUGGAGAGAGGACAAAACCCGGAGGAACACAUGGAAAUUAGUUCUGCAGGCUUUUCUUUCGACAAUACAGGAUGAUGAUGGUCUAAACCUGCCAGAGCAGGCAACACCAAUCAACUGGUGUAAACACCUCGGGUGUGUAACAGCCGUUUCUCCUCUCCUAAAGGUCUGUCCAUUGUGUAGGAUGUAUAUCUCUUUAGCGAUCUUAUAGAUCCAUGAAUAGAACUGAAUCAUAAUUUCACAUUCACAAUUGUCUAAAUGUUUUUUUUGUUCUGCUUGUAGGGUGUUAUGCUGACCUGCAUGUGUUCACGUAUACACUUUUUAACAGUACCAGUAUAACUCAAUUCAAUGUUAUCCUAUAUGUUUACUUAGAAUUGUUAUUAAGCUUUUCAAAAAUAUAAAACAUUACCAGUAUGAUUGUAAUAUGAAUAAAUAUCUAAAACAUUUAAAGAAAUGCAAAUUUCUUGUGCCAUAUGUGACCCUAGACCACAAAACCAGUCUUAAGUAGCACAGGUAUAUUUGUAGCAAUAGCCAACAAUACAUUGUAUGGGUCAAAAUUAACGAUUUUUCUUAUAUGCCAAAAAUCAUUAGGAUAUUUCCAUGAAGAUAUUUAGUAAAUUUCCUACCAUAAAAAUAUAUCAAAACUUAAUUUUUGAUUAGUAAUAUGCAUUGCUAAGAACUUCAUUUGGGCAACUUUAAAGGCAGUUUUCUCAAUAUUUAGAUUUUUUGGCAUCCUCAGAUUCCAGAUUUUCAAAUAGUUGUAUCUCAGCCAAAUAUUGUACUAAUCCUAACAAACCAUGCAUCAAUUAAAAAUAAAUUUACGCUUAUGAUUGGUUUUGUGUUCCAGAGUCACAUAUUUGAUGUGAUUUGCAUGCAAUAUUUGAUUUGAGAGUGUUAUGUACAGACUGAAAUUCUGAAAUGACUAAAUGUCAUAUUACUAAGCAUUUUACUGGCCUUAGGUUUUAGAUUUAUGCACCUACAUCAUUUGUAGCUGGAGAAUUAAAAUAGCAUGAUAGGAACCAAGGAGCAGGGAAACAUCUGCAAGCUGGGGGGCAUGGUGAUGAUUUGUGUGUGUGUGUGUGUGUGUGUCACCGUUUAAUCUCCACACACACACACACACACACACACACACACACACACACACACACACACACACACACACACACACACACACACACACACACACACACAAACAAACAAGCACACACUCUUUACAGUAGCAUUACAUGUUAGCGUUACUGAGAUGAAAAUCAUAAUUUUCAAUAUCUUGUAAUCAAACCUCCUCAUAUCAUUGCUGGUAAAUAAGGUCAUUUGUUUUGUACUGUUUCUGUAUUCUUUAGUAUAUCAGUAUAUUAAAUGGAUGUCAACUUCACACAUGCAACCUCUUGUGCAUUUGUCAUCAGAGUUUGUAAAUAAAAAGAGGGUAAUUUUUUCCCAUCAUGCCUAGCAAUGGUGGUGACCCGGUCUGUGCAAAUGGGAUUUUGAGGCUCAUUUGAGCAUUCCGAUAAUGUAAUGGUGCAGGAGCUGGACCUGACAAUUCCUCAUCUCCAUGCAGCCUCAAUUGAUCUCCGAUCCUAUUGCUAACUGAAGUAAAUUGAAUUCUGAGUCCUAACAUUGUUCGUUAACCACAGUGCCGAAGAGAUAGCGAUACAGAUUAAUGAUAAUGGUUGGCCCGGGAUGGCUUUCCCUCUCAGUCGAGAUUUGAUUAGCCUCAGAUGGCCAUGGAGACGGAGAUUGGCCCUCCUCGGCUGUUAUGAGGAAGCACUUAAUGAAAGGCUUGUAUGGACGACUAAUCGGGGAAAUGUUUGUCUGGCUGUCCACUUACUGUAGAUGUCUGAUGCCGUAGACGGGUCGUGCUCGUACAUGUGUGUGACUAUAUGCACACACGCUCUUCCAGUGAGUAAUGUCCUUGAGGAUAGCUGUUUAUUACGCUCUCGAGGUUAGUCUGUUCGCAUUCACGCUGCCUGUGAUGAUGUGCUGAAAGAUGCUUUAUGGCUUUCAGACUCUGGGUGUCGUGAGCACAUCUCUGUGCGAACACAUGCGCAGUGAAUUAACUCAUCACUGACACAUCUCAUCAUAUUUGAGUCAUUUACUCAGAAUUGCAUCUAAACUGACCCGUGUUCGUAGUGCUAAUUAGUAAGCGGUUAAACAUGCAGAGUGAUACUCCGUGGUUUGUCAACCGUAGUGUGAGAUGAAUCGGUUUCUGGGACAGUUGGCAUGCUUAAAAAAAAAAACUUGAACCAACUGGCUUAGAGCAUCUGUGAGAUUACGGAGCGUGCUUCGAAAAAUCUUUCACUGUUCCUCCCUGCAGCUUAAAGAGUGUUUAGUCUGAUUUCUCACAGAGGAGCCCUCACACAACUCGGCACAUAUUUCGGUCCGUUUGUGUUAGGCAUGGUAUUUAAAUAACUUGUGUAAGCAAACCUUUAGCUUGCUACUCAAUAGGCAACAGUUUGUUCUGUCUGAACCUGUGACCUACUGACACAACGUGAGAAAUUCAUGUUUGAAAAGCUGCGGUUCUGUAGCACAGAAAUAUAGGGUCUAUGUCUACUGUCUGCAUUUAUUUACCCAAAGUUGAACUCAUAACUCAUUGAAUUUAAUGUCAUAUAUCAAAAACACAUGCCAGUCAGAACUGUGCAUACAUGGUAGAUAGUCCAGAAAUGUAUACUAAAUGUACUGCAUCAUGAAUAUGCUUCAUCAAAUUCAAUAUCUGUUCUGAUGGUACAGGAUUGUGGAUGCAGAGUCGCAGUUGAUUUCAGUAGUUUGAUUUUAGCAUAUUGCUAAUUGAAUGACCUAAUGUUUUAAUAAGUCCAUAAAUACUUAGAACAUUCAUAUAUUUUGUGUAAUAUAUACUUAAUUAUUUUCAUGGAACUUAAAUGAAACUUCAAUUCAGUGUCUUAGUACAGAAUAUUUUUCUACAUUUUUU